rnacentral:lncRNA from 13 species
CCCCCCCCCCCAAAAAAACCCACAAGUUAAAAUACUUUAAAAUACUACUUAAGUACUGCUAGAGUACCAGCUUCUUCCCCGAUUCAGUCAGCAUCACCUCCUAGUGGUCUAAAUGGGGCAGGUACUGGAGACAAUAAAUACAAUUAUCAAUAUAACAUUUUAAAAUCACCAACUCAUUUAGAACAGAACAACACAGCAUCAAAGGGCCUCUUUAAAGAUUUAUUUUAAAUUUAUUUUUUUAGACACAAAUCAAUCAAAAAAAUAUUUUUAAAAAAUCACAGACCUGAAGCAAAAUGUAGAAAGAAAAAGAUUUCAGCAAAACUAAACUCUUCACACUACAACAAUUAAACAUCUAUCAUUCAGAGUCCAAAUCGAUGCAUAAAAUAAUAAAUAUAUUUGUUUAAAUAUGUAGACCGUUGAAAACAACAAAGAAAUCACCUGAAGAUGUACACAAGCAAGGCUGUUACCGGUGUUGAGGAGUGUAACCAUGGUAAUACCGCAGUAGAACCUCGUCUGAGUUUGGGGUCGGUCAGUGUAACCAUGGUAAUACUGCAGUAGAAACUAGUCAGUGUAACCAUGGUAAUACUGCAGUAGAACCUCGUCUGAGUUGGUCAGUGUAACCAUGGUAAUACCGCAGUAGGGCCUCGUCUGAGUUUGGGUCGGCCAGUGUAACCAUGGUAAUACUAGUGCCAGGCAGGUAGGUACAGAGCCAUAUGAUACUACUGUAGACCAGAGACCCUAUUCCCUAUAUAGUGCCCUAAUUUAGACCAGAGCCCUAUUCCCUAUAUAGUGCCCUAAUUUAGACCAGAGCCCUAUUCCCUAUAUAGUGCCCUAAUUUAGACCAGAGCCCUAUUCCCUAUAUAGUGGUACUACUAUAGACCAGAGCCCUAUUCCCUAUAUAGUGGUACUACUAUAGACCAGAGCCCUAUUCCCUAUAUAGUGCCCUAAUUUAGACCAGAGCCCUAUUCCCUAUAUAGUGCCCUAAUUUAGACCAGAGCCCUAUUCCCUAUAUAGUGGUA